GAUGAAGAACGUAGCGAAAUGCGAUAAGAAGUGUGAAUUGCAGAAUUCAGUGAAUCAUCGAAUCUUUGAACGCACAUUGCGCCCCAUGGUAUUCCGUGGGGCAUGCCUGUUCGAGCGUCAUUUACCCCCUCAAGCUCCGCUUGGUGUUGGGCGUCUGUCCCGCUUCGCGCGCGGACUCGCCCCAAAGGUAUUGGCAGCGGUCGUGCCAGCUUCUCGCGCAGCACAUUGCGCUUCUCGAGGCACCGGUGGGCCCGCGUCCAUCAAGCUCACCCCCCCAGUUUGACCUCGGAUCAGGUAGGGAUACCCGCUGAACUUAAGCAUAUCAAUAAGCGGAGGA
rnacentral:misc_RNA from 1 species